UACGUAGGUGGCAAGCGUUGUCCGGAUUUACUGGGCGUAAAGAGCGCGCAGGCGGUCGGGUAAGUCGAAUGUGAAAGCCCCUGGCUCAACUGGGGAGGGUCAUUCGAUACUGCUCGACUCGAAGGCAGGAGAGGGAAGCGGAAUUCCCGGUGUAGUGGUGAAAUGCGUAGAUAUCGGGAGGAACACCAGUGGCGAAGGCGGCUUUCUGGCCUGUUCUUGACGCUGAGGCGCGAAAGCUAGGGGAGCAAACGGGG
rnacentral:rRNA from 1 species